UACGUAGGGAGCAAGCGUUGUCCGGAAUCAUUGGGCGUAAAGCGCGCGUAGGUGGCUUCGUAAGUCCGCUGUGAAAGUCAAAGGCUCAACCUUUGAAAGCCGGUGGAUACUGUGAAGCUAGAGUACGGAAGAGGCGAGUGGAAUUCCCGUGUGCUGGCGGGUGAAUGCGCAGAUAUCAGGAGGAACACCAAUAGCGAAGGCAGCUCGCUGGGACGUUACUGACACUGAGGCGCGAAAGCGUGGGGAGCGAACAGG
rnacentral:rRNA from 1 species